UUUGGAAUUUCAGAGGUCAGAAGCUUUGGACUGCUCUUGGAGGUCCUGGCAGCAUCCCAGGAACAGCAGUGACUGGCAGCAGUGUGUGCCCUGAGAGCUAAGGGUGAACUAGACAUACUGAAGAAAGCCCAGCAGAAAGCUACAUCAUACGUGAGGGGAUGGUCUUGAGGAUUCCAAUAAAAGGACCUCCACAGCUCAGGAUCCUGGAUUAUAAUAAGCCCCCUUGGUAUUGCUUCAGAUCUCAACUCUCUAGGGAACCCCUAUAUGGCCUGCCUGGUAGCGAUCUCAUUUUGUGCCGGAAUGCCUGGGCUGCUAUGUUGAACUGAUUCACCACCCAGGUGGCUACAUUUGGACUAAAUGAGCUGUGAAGGGUUUCAUCUCUGCCCAUCACAGUCUUCCUUCCUGGAGCCCCACAGUAUGCAGCCACUGCUCCGACAUGAUUUGUCACAACCCAUCAAUAGAAAAUAAAUUAUUGCCAUUCUCACUUGUCAA